rnacentral:rRNA from 1 species
GAUGAACGCUGGCGGCGUGCCUAAUACAUGCAAGUCGAGCGAACAGACGAGGAGCUUGCUCCUCUGACGUUAGCGGCGGACGGGUGAGUAACACGUGGAUAACCUACCUAUAAGACUGGGAUAACUUCGGGAAACCGGAGCUAAUACCGGAUAACAGUUUGAACCGUAUGGUUCAACAGGGAAACAGGGUCUUGCUGUCACUUAUAGAGGGAUCCGCGCCGCAUUAGCUAGUUGGUAAGGUAACGGCUUACCAAGGCAACGAUGCGUAGCCGACCUGAGAGGGUGAUCGGCCACACUGGAACUGAGACACGGUCCAGACUCCUACGGGAGGCAGCAGUAGGGAAUCUUCCGCAAUGGGCGAAAGCCUGACGGAGCAACGCCGCGUGAGUGAAGAAGGUCUUCGGAUCGUAAAACUCUGUUAUUAGGGAAGAACAAAUGUGUAAGUAACUAUGCACGUCUUGACGGUACCUAAUCAGAAAGCCACGGCUAACUACGUG